CGGUACUUGGUGGAGGACAAACAGAAGAGCAGGUUCCCGCUGCAUCAACCUUGAGACCUCAGCUGUCCCUCUUAUUGCCUGCUCAGAGACGGCAUAGACUCAGGAAGAGACCGC